UACGAAGGUGGCAAGCGUUGUUCGGAUUUACUGGGCGUACAGGGAGCGUAGGCGGUUGGAUAAGCCCUCCGUGAAAUCUCCAGGCUUAACCUGGAAAGUGCAGAGGGGACUGUUCAGCUAGAGGAUGGGAGAGGAGCGCGGAAUUCCCGGUGUAGCGGUGAAAUGCGUAGAGAUCGGGAGGAAGGCCGGUGGCGAAGGCGGCGCUCUGGAACAUUUCUGACGCUGAGGCUCGAAAGCGUGGGGAGCGAUCCGG
rnacentral:rRNA from 1 species